GGAGGGGUGGCCGAGCGGUCUAAGGCACCAGUCUUGAAAACUGGCACGGCGCAAGCCGUCAGGAGUUCGAAUCUCCUCCCCUCCG
rnacentral:tRNA from 1 species